ACCCCGAUAUGUCCCCACUCCCCACCAUACAAUGCAUCCAAUCUUCAAAGUCAUCAACGUGCUUCACAAUCACACCUCCUUCACAAUCACACCUAAAUUACAUUCAGAAUCCUUCCAAAACUCUCAAAACUACCAGAUGUAACCUAAAAUUGGGUAUUUCAGCCACUACUUUCCGGAGAUUGGCAAAUGCGGCUGCCAAACGAUACCGUCGACAUUUACCCGCAGUCCCAUGUCGGCGGCUUCGUUAGCAUCACUUUCCGAUUUAUGCCCUAACUCACCGCUAGAAGACCCGAUCAAGCCUUGGAACAACCAUCAUCACUUGAUUCUGUAUCAGAGUAUCUUUAUGCCAUUUGGGAAGUGUGGCUAAUGAGCUGUACUUUUGAAAAGUGGCUGAAUGGGACUCUAAUGAAAGCUACUAUAAAGAUUAAUCCCAUUCAAGACAUUUAUGUAUUUGGGCGGUCAUGGCCUCAUCAACCAGACACGCUUCUUACAAUCCAAACCGCAAGAACCUCUUGAAACAACCCAUCAUGUGUUCGUGAUUACAAUUGCUUUAUCAAAGAAGGAGCUUGAUUCGUCAUCUGUUGGGUAAUCACGGAAUCAACAAUGUUGGUUUUUUAUUUGCUCUUACUGAUAUGCAGGUAUCAACCACUUAUUGCAGCGGAUUAAGUGCAACCAUUAGUUGAAUAUGAAUAUAGAGUUGGCAUAAGAUGUUCAUGGUCCACCUAACAUACGAGGAAGAGGGCGUGAAAGAGUGGUAAUUAUAAAGGACGUUGAAGUGUGGAACCUUAGAUGAGUUGUGAGAAGGGACCACACCCUUUUUUGAUGAUUCUGGAUCAGGUAGACCGAGAUGAGGCAACAUUGGGUAAUCAUUUGGAUUAUACGAUCAAGUUUCUGGAUCUAGCUGGAACUUCCUGUAUCGUGUUCUGACCUGUGUCUUUCUUAACAUAUGGACUAUAGUUCUUUAUCCAAUUCACGACCAUAUACUAAUGAAUGUGAAAUCGGUACCUAUUAAAUAGAAUGCAAUCACUUUGGAUUAUUAUAAA